AUUGAACGCUGGCGGCAGGCCUAACACAUGCAAGUCGAGCGGAUGAGUGGAGCUUGCUCCAUGAUUCAGCGGCGGACGGGUGAGUAAUGCCUAGGAAUCUGCCUGGUAGUGGGGGACAACGUUUCGAAAGGAACGCUAAUACCGCAUACGUCCUACGGGAGAAAGCAGGGGACCUUCGGGCCUUGCGCUAUCAGAUGAGCCUAGGUCGGAUUAGCUAGUAGGUGAGGUAAAGGCUCGCCUAGGCGACGAUCCGUAACUGGUCUGAGAGGAUGAUCAGUCUCACUGGAACUGAGACACGGUCCAGACUCCUACGGGAGGCAGCAGUGGGGAAUAUUGGACAAUGGGCGAAAGCCUGAUCCAGCCAUGCCGCGUGUGUGAAGAAGGUCUUCGGAUUGUAAAGCACUUUAAGUUGGGAGGAAGGGCAGUAAGCUAAUACCUUGCUGUUUUGACGUUACCAACAGAAUAAGCACCGGCUAACUUCGUGCCAGCAGCCGCGGUAAUAC
rnacentral:rRNA from 1 species